rnacentral:tRNA from 1 species
GGUAAUGUGGCUCAGUGGUAGAGUGCUUACCUAGCAUGUAUGAAGCCCUGGGUUCAAUUCCUCACUAACA